UUUUUACAUCUUUUAAAUCUUCAAUGGAGUGAAGAAGUUAUAUCAAACUAAUAUAUUAUAGAUAUGUGAAAUUCUAUGUAGGCGAAGUCAGAAGAUUGUUUUUUUUUCCAUCACAAUUGUUUUUACACAGAAUAUAUAGGUUGGAGUUCUGCAGCAUGUCCAUAAUGAACAUGAGUGGGCAUUAUCCUAUGGAAGAGUUGUACCAUGAUCAUGUUUUCAAGGUGAUCUAGAGACUGAGGGAGACAUGAAAUGACUGGACACCGGAAGUUCUGUUCAUGCUGCUUUGACAAAAGUUAUUCUAGAGAAACGCUUCCUAGAUAAUGUCCCCUAUUUUCUACAUUUCAGGUAUAUAUUGCAAAAAUGCAUUACUCUUUCAAUACUUCCUAAAAGCACACACCUGUAAGAAUAAGAUGUGUUUGUGAAACACUGUACAAUGAACAAGGUCAAAAACGUUUGGUACCAAAACAAAAUUGAUUCCUUCCUAGUCAUUUUCAGAUACAGGUGACCUAUUGGUCUUUAUAUGUCGUCCGUUAACAAUUGAACAUUUUCAAUUUCUUCUUUUAAAAUAACUACUUUUCCAAUUGCUGUUGAAUUUGGUAUGAAGCAUCUUUGAAGAAGGGGGUAUGAAUUUUAAAUUUUAGGACUCUUGCAUCGAUGUGUUUUACGGGCGGGGCAAAAUUGUCAAUAAUUGAACAAUUUUCAAUAAUCUUCUAAAUAAGCACACAACUGUAAGAACAAGAUGUGUUUGUGAAACAUUGAACAAUGAACAAGGUCAAAAACGUUUGAUACCAAAACAAAAAAUUUUUCUUUGGAGUCAAACUCCAAGUUAAAGGAUCAUAGUAUGAAAUGAAAGGGUGUGUCAAACGGUAUACAAAAUAUGAGAAGAGGUUCUGACUUCAGGGUGGGGACAGACUUUGCAUAUAGUGGCUAUGAGUAAAACAUUUAAAUGAUAUAUUCUAUGGUGCUAUUAAUACUGAAUUGAUAUCAAGAAGUAGCAGAUAGCUCUUUACCAAAAUUUUACAUUACAUAAUUCCAGGGGUAGGGAUUUUGGUAUCACGAUGGGGUCAAAAUGGCUAUUAUUCUCCGGAAUAGGCCGCGUGAUGUUCCGAUUGGCUUCCCGCUGUUGUGACGUCACAACGAUUUGGCGCUUGAACCCGACCAUUUCAAAAAUAUGUGUGAUUUGGAGCUUUUGACAGUGUUAGUUUAACAUAUAUAUUUUAUAUAUAAAUCCUGAGUAUGGGCACUGUUGGAGACUUUUGUGUUUUCUUAUAUUUGUAUUUAGCUUAGGUAUACAGAAAAAGAAAAGUAUGAUUUUGUAUCCUUUAGGGCUAGUGAUAUUUUGAAGUUGUACUCUGUGACCAAUAAGGCCUGUUAGCCUCUCCCUAUCUAGUGUUUUCAUAUUCAGUUCAACUUCGGUAUCUUGAACAUCAAUAUCUUGAAUAUCAUGGAUAUAUCAAGUGAGUUGGAAGUCCCAACUAUCAUUUCUUUAUGCAUUUUAACGACAAUUUCUCGGUCUCAUUGAGUUUGAGAUAACCAGGUUUAACUGUAUCUAAUAUGAUGAUCUUUCUAAAUUCUAUCUAAAUUUUUCAACAGAAGUACAUCAAACUUGGAGAUUCUUAACGACCACAUUUUGAUGCAUGCAGCGAAUAGAAUGUCAUAUUCACCACCAGUCUACAGGGCAAGGAAUUUAUUAGCUGCAUUAGACUACACUCAUAGUGUAGAUUUACCUACAGCUACAAAGAUGGAAGUAUUAGAUAUCAAAGGACAUUUUUAAAGAAAUCAUGGAGGUGGACCACUGUGGAGAGAAAGCAAAACAAGAUGACCAUAUCGACGAACUUUUAGAAACAGUUAUGAAAAUGCGUUUGUAGUCUGAUAUAGAGGGAUCCAUCUCUAACACCAUUGCCGCAAAGAUUCCACCCCAGCAGAACUGGUUUCCCAGCAUAAAAAGUAGAUAUCAAAGAGCAAAUCUGGUAUUGUUCUGACGAAAUUUUACACUAAUUAUACAUACCUUAGUCUUUUAAUAAUGACACCUUUAAAAAUGUGUUUUGACUCGUGUUUCCAAGGUAACAAGACAUCCGAUUUCUUGUAAAGAAGUGAGCCUCAGAAAAUGUUGAAUCUUCAUACAUAAAAUUUGUACAUUUUUCAUUCAACUUAUUGUAACUAUUAUACUAUACUAUGUUGUGAGUAAAUUUUUUUAGAAUAAAAUCAAUUUGCUGGAAC